rnacentral:lncRNA from 1 species
CCUCCACGGCAAACAGCUGACCCGCUCGGCUACGUCCGAUCAGCCACGACGACUCAUUGGCUCCGGCCUGAUCUCCUACGGCAAUGCAUUAAUUCACACGAUCGUGCAUUAAUUCAUACGACAUGCUCAAUUAUGACGGUAACCCGAUCACCCCGUUACAUCACAGGUAAUCAUGUACCCCUCUAUAAAAGGGGAACCCCUCCAUCUUAGAAGGGGAUGGACUCUAAAACUCUGGAAUAUAUUUUCUCUCCC